UACGGAGGAUGCGAGCGUUAUCCGGAUUUAUUGGGUUUAAAGGGUGCGUAGGCGGACUGUCAAGUCAGCGGUAAAAUUGAGAGGCUCAACCUCUUCCCGCCGUUGAAACUGGUGGUCUUGAGUGGAUGAGAAGUACGCGGAAUGCGCGGUGUAGCGGUGAAAUGCAUAGAUAUCGCGCAGAACUCCGAUUGCGAAGGCAGCGUACCGGCGCCAGACUGACGCUGAGGCACGAAAGCGUGGGGAUCGAACAGG
rnacentral:rRNA from 1 species